UUAGUGUCUGAGAUCACAGUGUGUGAUUUUGAGCUAUAAACAGGGUUUGCAUAUUUGUAUUUUAUGAGCUUUAUCCAAGGUUUAUUGAAAGACAUGUUCUGUCUUCAUUGGACUUCAAGUGGUAUGAACAGAAUUUUGAAAGCAGUAACACUUUCAGGAUAGAUUUCUGAAACCUUCAGUCUUUUCUUUAGUUUUCAGUGUUCUUUAAGGUGUGCAGUGUAACCAUGUAUCAUGGAUAUAAAACAUACUUAAAAGAUGGUGACAGAUUUGAAGGCACCUUCACAAAUGAAGGUGCCACCAAGUGAUAAUUGUGUGCAUCUCUGGUGCUCAGGUAAGUUGAUCAUACAAAUGCUAGAAAAGUUUCAAGUCUCUCAUAACAAAGACACUACAUUGCUUCCAAAAGUCCAUUCCUUUUCCUGGCCUUUCAUGCCUGUCAUUCUCUUGUGCCAAGUUUGGCAUUCAUCCAACCCUUGGUGAGCCAAAUCUGUGCUCUAAAAUAACAGAAUAAGCCAGCAGAAAAGGUGAGUACUUUCUGCUUGCUUGUUUUGCUGAACUGGAGCAGAACAGGACUGAGUCAUCCGUGGAUCACAAGAGUGCAGAAAGGUAGAACCAAGCUCAUGAACUCAUAAAGAAAACAGCAGCACCAGGGCUGUGCAUAGCUAAUGAGUAAAAGAAGGUCAGAAAGCAAAA